rfam:Bacillus vireti LMG 21834 contig113, whole genome shotgun sequence.
ACGAUGUUCCGCUGCAGGGUAUAAGGGAAUUUAUGUGCAUGAGCAUCUG